rnacentral:rRNA from 1 species
CCUACGGGCGACAGCAGUGAGGAAUAUUGGUCAAUGGACGAGAGUCUGAACCAGCCAAGUAGCGUGAAGGAUGACUGCUCUAUGGGUUGUAAACUUCUUUUAUAUGGGAAUAAAAUGUUCCACGUGUGGGAUUUUGUAUGUAUCAUAUGAUUAAGGAUCGGCUAACUCCGUGCCAGCAGCCGCGGUAAUACGGAGGGUCCGAGCGUUAUCCGGAUUUAUUGGGUGUAAAGGGAGCGUAGGUGGAUUGUUAAGUCAGUUGUGAAAGUUUGCGGCUCAACCGUAAAAUUGCAGUUGAAACUGGCAGUCUUGAGUACAGUAGAGGUGAGCGGAAUUCGUGGUGUAGCGGUGAAAUGCUUAGAUAUCACGAAGAACUCCGAUUGCGAAGGCAGUUCACUGGACUGCAACUGACACUGAGGCUCGAAAGUGUGGGUAUCAAACAGGAUUAGAUACCCUUGUAGUC